rnacentral:rRNA from 1 species
GACGAACGCUGGCGGCGUGCUUAACACAUGCAAGUCGAACGGAAAGGCCCUGCUCUUGUUGCGUGCUCGAUUGGCGAACGGGGGAGUAACACGUGAGUAACCUGCCCUUGACUUUGGGAUAACUUCAGGAAACUGGGGCUAAUACCCGAUAGGAGCUCCUGCUGCAUGGUGGGGGUUGGAAAGUUUCGGCUGUUGGGGCUGGACUCGCGGCUUAUCAGCUGGUUGGGGAGGUAGUGGCUUACCAAGGCUUUGACGGGUAGCCGGCCUGAGCGCGUGAACGGCCACCUUGGUACUGAGAUACGGCGCAGAAUCCUAUGGGCGGCAGUAGUGGGGAAUAUUGCGCAGUGGGCGGACGCCUGUUACAGAGACGCUGCGUGCGGGAUGACGGCCUUCGGGUUGUAAACCGCUUUCGCCUGUGACGAAGCGUGAGUGACGGUAAUGGGUAAAAAAGCACCGGCUAACUACGUG